AGCGAACGCUGGCGGCAGGCCUAACACAUGCAAGUCGAACGAAGCCUUCGGGCUUAGUGGCGGACGGGUGAGUAACACGUGGGAACGUACCUUUUGGUUCGGAAUAACGCAGAGAAAUUUGCGCUAAUACCGAAUGAGCCCUUAGGGGGAAAGAUUUAUCGCCGAAAGAUCGGCCCGCGUUUGAUUAGGUAGUUGGUGUGGUAAAGGCGCACCAAGCCUACGAUCCAUAGCUGGUCUGAGAGGAUGAUCAGCCACACUGGGACUGAGACACGGCCCAGACUCCUACGGGAGGCAGCAGGGGGGAAUCUUGCGCAAUGGGCGAAAGCCUGACGCAGCCAUGCCGCGUGAAUGAUGAAGGUCUUAGGAUUGUAAAAUUCUUUUACCAGGGACGAUAAUGACGGUACCUGGAGAAAAAGCCCCGGCUAACUUCGUGCCAGCCGCCGCGGUAAAAC
rnacentral:rRNA from 1 species